GUUCCGGACGUCCGGGCUUCGGCUCCGCGGGGAGCGAGGCUGCUCGAAGGCGAGCGAGGCAGCGGAGCUGUGCGUGCGCGCGUGAGAGAAACAGCCUGAAGGACAAAGCUGUUGAGUUCUAGAAAGAGAUAACUUAAAUGUACGUGGGGGAGUUUCUUGCUUUUUGGGAGGUCUGAGGUCUUCUGCCAGCGUUCAGUAGGUGUUGCAUAGUUGUUCCACAUGUAGAUGUAUUUCUGAUGUAUCUGUGGGGAAGAAGGUGAUCUCCGCAUCUUACUCUUCCACCAUCUUCUCCUUGAGCGUCCUCAGUGCGUGAGACAGAGAUGAGGAAGAAUCUGCGAAGCACUAGGAAACAAGACUAAAUGAGCACCUUGAGGAAACUGCAAAGUAGUUUCUACUUUAUCAGGAUUUUCAAUUCCAGCCAUGUGGCUGACAGGGUAUUGGUGCUCCGGCCAGGUGUCAGGCGUGAGCCUCAGAGGUGGAAGAGCUGAGCUCAGGAUAUUGGACUAUCAAAGACAUCCCAGCCCUACAUAAUAUCAAUUGGUGAGAGCUCUCCCAGAGAUCUCCGUCUCAACACUAAGACCCAGCUACACUCACUGACAAGCAAGCUCAAGUGCUGGACACCCCAUGCUAAACAACUAGCAAGACAGGAACACAACCCCACUCAUUAGCAGAGAGGUUGCCAGAAAUCAUAAUAACGUCACAGACACCCCAAAACACACCACCAGACUCGGUCCAGCCCACCAGAAAGACAAGAUCCAGAUUCAUCCACCAGAACACAGGCACCAGUCUCUUCCACCAGGAAGCCUACACAACACACUGAACCAACCCCACCCACUGAGGGCAGACACCAAAAACAACGGGAACUAUGAACCUGCAGCCUGCAAAAAGGAGACCCCAAACACAGUAAGUUAAGCAAAAUGAGAAGACAGAGAAAUAGACAACUGGUGAAGGAGUAAGUUAAAAACCGACCAGACCAAACAAAUGAAGAGGACAUAGGCAGUCUACCUGAAAAAGAAUUCAGAGUAAUUAGAGUAAACAUGAUCUAAAAUCUUGGAAAGAGAAUGGAGAACAUACAAGAAAUGUUUAACAAGGACCUAGAAGAACUAAAGAGGAAACAAACAAUGAUGAACAACACAAUAAAUGAAAUUAAAAAAUCUCUAGAAGGAAUCAAUAGCAGAAUAACUUGAGGCAGAAGAACGGAUAAGUGACCUGGAAGAUAAAAUAGUGGAAAUAACUACACAGAGCAGAAUAAAGAAAAAAGAAUGAAAAGAAUUGAGGACAGUCUCAGAGACCUCUGGGAC